rnacentral:rRNA from 1 species
GAUGAACGCUGGCGGCGUGCCUAAUACAUGCAAGUCGAGCGAACGAAUGAGAAGCUUGCUUCUCUGAUGUUAGCGGCGGACGGGUGAGUAACACGUGGAUAACCUACCUAUAAGACUGGGAUAACUUCGGGAAACCGGAGCUAAUACCGGAUAAUAUUUUGAACCGCAUGGUUCAAAGGUGAAAGACGGUCUUGCGGUCACUUAUAGAUGGAGCCGCGCUGCAUUAGCUAGUUGGUAAGGUAACGGCUUACCAAGGCAACGAUGCAUAGCCGACCUGAGAGGGUGAUCGGCCACACUGGAACUGAGACACGGUCCAGACUCCUACGGGAGGCAGCAGUAGGGAAUCUUCCGCAAUGGGCGAAAGCCUGACGGAGCAACGCCGCGUGAGUGAUGAAGGUCUUCGGAUCGUAAAACUCUGUUAUUAGGGAAGAACAUAUGUGUAAGUAACUGUGCACAUCUUGACGGUACCUAAUCAGAAAGCCACGGCUAACUACGUG